AUGACGUAUUGAAAGGUAUAAAAACCUACCAUAAACACAAUUUCAGUCUUUCGAAAGUAUGUAGUGCAGAGAAUAUGUAUCCGGCAGAAUAUUUAUUUUUCGGUUUUGGGGGUAACUAUUUGCAUCAACUCGUAGCAAAAUGUUUCAAAGACACUCUACGAACUCCAGUGUCGACCAGCCACCGUGAGUGUAAAUUAGCCGUUUGAAUUGACUCCCAUCUUAACUCACGUGGAUUGACGUCAGAAAUCCUAUGCGCAUCGCACUCAAGAGUGUUGUGGCCUCAGAGGGUGAAGGGACAGUUGCUUGGUCUGCCAACCUGGGUGUGAUCCCAUGAAAAUGUUCCAAUGAAGUUACUCCUAUUAGAGCAGGUCUGCCAACCUGGAUGUGAACGCCUGAAAAUACAGCAAGUAAUGCCAUUGGAAUCAGAUCAGGUAAUGGGGUCAAAGAUGUGCCAAGGACAGGACUCAAGAACUGAAAUUCACCGAAGGAUCAGUGACUGACUAAAAUAAACUAGUUCAAUGCAAACAUUAGACAAUGUCAAGUUUAAUGGCGUACUUAAAACCAGAAAGUCACAGGGCUCUAAGCCCCAGUUAAUCAGUGUGAAAGGCUGAAUUGUAAGGUGCUUUCUUGAGUGUCCAGGAAGAACUGCUCAUCCUGCAGAAAGUUACAAUCCUAAGAAGAUUAAACGAGUACAUUUAUCUACAAUAAAGAUUUUGAAACAA